ACUCCUACGGGAGGCAGCAGUGGGGAAGUCUUGGACAAUGGGCGCAAGCCUGAUCCAGCCAUGCCGCGUGAGUGAUGAAGGCCUUAGGGUCGUAAAGCUCUUUCGCCAGGGAUGAUAAUGACAGUACCUGGUAAAGAAACCCCGGCUAACUCCGUGCCAGCAGCCGCGGUAAUACGGAGGGGGUUAGGCGUUGUUCGGAAUUACUGGGGCGUAAAGCGCGCGUAGGCGGGGUUGUUAAGUUAGAGGUGAAAUCCCGGGGCUCAACCCCGGAACUGCCUUAAUACUGGCAACCUAGAGUUCGAGAGAGGUGAGUGGAAUUCCGAGUGUAGAGGUGAAAUUCGUAGAUAUUCGGAGGAACACCAGUGGCGAAGGCGGCGUCACUGGCUCGAUACUGACGCUGAGGUGCGAAAGUGUGGGGAGCAAACAGGAUUAGAUACCCUGGUAGGAUAGCG
rnacentral:rRNA from 1 species